rnacentral:ncRNA from 2 species
CUCUUAUCGAGAGGGUGGAGGGAGACGGCCCGAUGAAACCCGGCAGCCUGCGGCUCCAGUCCGCAAGGUGCCAAGUCCGCCGGAUCCGUAAAGGGUCCGGAAGAUAAGAG